GUCAGCGAGUAAACACAUGUAGAUUCACUACCUUUUACGUCAUGUUACUGCAUAUUUGGAGGUUUAAAUAAAUAUAAAGGUCUGACAGCCAACAUACAUUUAAGAUCUUCAACUUAGUUCAUCAGAGUUUUGAAGUAGAUGAUAUGAUUAUCCAGCAUGUUGGAGCCAUAUUCUUCAAGGAAAUGUACUUAACACAUAGAUAGUUCACCUAUUUGCGGAUGAAUAUACUAAACUAUUGUUGGAAAUGAGGCACAAUGUGUGACAUAGUUCUAUGCCCUAUUGAGCACCAGGGUUAUGGAGUAAAAAAGACAAUCACUUGUAUCAACUGUACUGUAAUGGUCAAGAUAAAAAACACUUCAAUUGGGAUGGCAUGUGAGAAGUCAAUGAUUUGUCUAUGUUUGACAGUAUACCAAAAGUGAAUUACAUUCUCAUAGAAUUUGUCUUUAGAAGUAUCCCUAAAAAAGCUGAAUACUACUGUGGGAGGUGUUACAAUAUUUUUACUUAAUUGUGAAACAAGUUUUAUAUAUGAAUCACUUUUUGCUUACAAAAACUGAAGACAUAUGAGGAGACAUUGUUGCUAUUACCCUGUUUGGGUCAAACCCUCAACAUGGGGUUGCAAGACUAUAAUUCAAGGACAUAAAUGAACUCUCAUUUGUGACUUCCCAUGUGAUUGCUAGAAUCUAUUAUUGUAAUUGUUUUAAAUUAAUUGAAAUUAUUUCAAUUUAAAAAUAUACUAAUAUGUUAUUCAUAUUAUACAAUUUAAAACACACUAAUCAGAAUAUGAUUACACUGUCAAUAUCUGUAACUGAAAAUUUAGUCAGGAACAUAACUAGUGCAAGCCCUUUCUAUUUUUUUUUUUUGGUUAAAAUUCUGAAAGACUUUUGAAGUUAUUGUGAAAAGGAAUAUUUUUU